rnacentral:rRNA from 1 species
GCGUAGUCGAUGGGAAACGGGUUAAUAUUCCCGUACUUGGUGUUACUGCGAAGGGGGGACGGAGAAGGCUAUGUUGGCCGGGCGACGGUUGUCCCGGUUUAAGCGUGUAGGUGUGUGUUCCAGGUAAAUCCGGUUCACUUUAACACUGAGGCGUGACGACGAGGCACUACGGUGCUGAAGCAACAAAUGCCCUGCUUCCAGGAAAAGCCUCUAAGCAUCAGGUAACAUCAAAUCGUACCCCAAACCGACACAGGUGGUCAGGUAGAGAAUACCAAGGCGCUUGAGAGAACUCGGGUGAAGGAACUAGGCAAAAUGGUGCCGUAACUUCGGGAGAAGGCACGCUGACACGUAGGUGAAGUGAUUUACUCAUGGAGCUGAAGUCAGUCGAAGAUACCAGCUGGCUGCAACUGUUUAUUAAAAACACAGCACUGUGCAAACACGAAAGUGGACGUAUACGGUGUGACGCCUGCCCGGUGCCGGAAGGUUAAUUGAUGGGGUCAGCGCAAGCGAAGCUCCUGAUCGAAGCCCCGGUAAACGGCGGCCGUAACUAUAACGGUCCUAAGGUAGCGAAAUUCCUUGUCGGGUAAGUUCCGACCUGCACGAAUGGCGUAAUGAUGGCCAGGCUGUCUCCACCCGAGACUCAGUGAAAUUGAACUCGCUGUGAAGAUGCAGUGUACCCGCGGCAAGACGGAAAGACCCCGUGAACCUUUACUAUAGCUUGACACUGAACAUUGAGCCUUGAUGUGUAGGAUAGGUGGGAGGCUUUGAAGUGUGGACGCCAGUCUGCAUGGAGCCGACCUUGAAAUACCACCCUUUAAUGUUUGAUGUUCUAACGUGGACCCGUUACCCGGGUUGCGGACAGUGUCUGGUGGGUAGUUUGACUGGGGCGGUCUCCUCCUAAAGAGUAACGGAGGAGCACGAAGGUUGGCUAAUCCUGGUCGGACAUCAGGAGGUUAGUGCAAUGGCAUAAGCCAGCUUGACUGCGAGCGUGACGGCGCGAGCAGGUGCGAAAGCAGGUCAUAGUGAUCCGGUGGUUCUGAAUGGAAGGGCCAUCGCUCAACGGAUAAAAGGUACUCCGGGGAUAACAGGCUGAUACCGCCCAAGAGUUCAUAUCGACGGCGGUGUUUGGCACCUCGAUGUCGGCUCAUCACAUCCUGGGGCUGAAGUAGGUCCCAAGGGUAUGGCUGUUCGCCAUUUAAAGUGGUACGCGAGCUGGGUUUAGAACGUCGUGAGACAGUUCGGUCCCUAUCUGCCGUGGGCGCUGGAGAACUGAGGGGGGCUGCUCCUAGUACGAGAGGACCGGAGUGGACGCAUCACUGGUGUUCGGGUUGUCAUGCCAAUGGCACUGCCCGGUAGCUAAAUGCGGAAGAGAUAAGUGCUGAAAGCAUCUAAGCACGAAACUUGCCCCGAG